AAAAGUUAAGGUUUGGUCAAAAAUAAUAAACCUAAAAGAAAAUGGAAAUUUUAGGGCAUUUUGUGUUAAAUGCCUAAUUUUGCCGAAAUGGGGAAUUUUAUUCCAUGAAUGGACCUUAGGUUAAAUUUUAUUAUGUGAUUAAUUAAAUUAAAUGUGAGAGACAUUUAAUUUAAUUAAUUAAUGUUAAGUUUGGUGAUUAAAACUUAAUAAGAGUGAAAAAAGGUGUCAAAAGUCAAUUUGGACUUUUCUUCUUAUAAACCUUUAUUAACCUUUAUAAAAAAUAAAAAAUAAAUAAAAAAAAUUAAUGGUCACAUAUAUGGAAAAGGGUGGCUGGCCAUGUGCUAUUUUAGAGUGGUGUGAACCCAAUUUUAUAAAAUUCAAAUCCCAUUUAAUUAAGAAGUCAAGUGGGCAAGUGGGUAGAAAAGCACUCAAGUGUUUUGUGAUAUUUUAAAGAGUUGUGUGAGCCAUUCUAACCCCCAAAUCCGACCACUCUCCCUCCCUCAUUCACUCUCAUCUGAUUUUUGAAGACUCUCUCAAGUGUUCUCUCCAUUUUGAACCCCAAGAACACCAAAGAAACUUGGAAGCUAAGUCUUGGUCUAGGAAGGGUUUUCCCUAAGUUGGUUAGGGUUUUUGAAAGGUUUUGAAGGAGUCAAAGCUUAUAGGAAGGUCCAAACCUUAAGCAAGAACACCAAAGAGGUAAGAACAAGGGCAAGGCAGAGCAGUGAGCGCUGGAGUCUUCCUUGCAAAUGUACAUGUGGACCGACCUUUUGGGAAGCCUUUUUAUUUUUGGAAAUGUUGUGUAAUUUUCCUAAACUAGGCUCACUCUAAUCUUUAUAAAACAUGUUUGUAACUAAAUGUUAAGUAUGGCCAUACGACUUUUUAAAAAGUUUUUUUUUCUAUGGGUUUUUGAGACAUUUUGUUAAAUGAAAACAUUUAUA